UAUAUAAUCUUGGCUCAUGACAUGUAUCGUGAUAAUAAAAUUAGCAUUGUAAUAGCAAUAUAGACUGAUGUUCUUAUAUAGUUUCAUCUGUGUUGACGACAAGACACAAAGUGGUGUGCACUUGUAAGCACCAUACACGUAUUUUACACUAAAUUGCAGUUAUGAUGGCACAUAUCUUUUUUACAUAUUUUCUUCUUGCGUGUACGACAAGGAUCAAACACAAAACGCCACACAGAAGUCCUAACAACGAAAGAUAAGUGACCAAUAUUAAAAU
rnacentral:lncRNA from 1 species